UCGUUGUAGCAAUACGAUGGAAAGUCUAGUGGCGAACGGGUGCUUAACACGUGGGCAACCUGCCAAGAAGUGGGGGACAGCUCGCCGAAAGGCGGAUUAAUACCGCAUGUGAUUAGAGAGGACAUCCUUUCGAAAUUAAAGUCGGGGCAACCUGACGCUUCUUGUGGGGCCCGCGGCCUAUCAGCUAGUUGGUGGGGUAACGGCUCACCAAGGCUUUGACGGGUAGCUGGUCUGAGAGGACGACCAGCCACACUGGGACUGAGACACGGCCCAGACACCUACGGGUGGCAGCAGUCGAGAAUUUUUGACAAUGGGGGAAACCCUGAUCGAGCGACGCCGCGUGGAGGAUGAAGGUCUUCGGAUUGUAAACUCCUGUCAUUGGGGAACAAUGCGUGACGGUUAACUGCCGUUGCGUUGAUAGUACUCGAAGAGGAAGAGACGGCUAACUCUGUGCCAGCAGCCGCGGUAAUACAGAGGUCUCAAGCGUUGUUCGGAUUCAUUGGGCGUAAAGGGUGCGUAGGCGGCGCGGUAAGUCGGGUGUGAAAUCUCGGGGCUUAACUCCGAAACUGCAUUCGAUACUGCCGUGCUUGAGGACUGGAGAGGAGACUGGAAUUCACGGUGUAGCA
rnacentral:rRNA from 1 species